GCGAGCGAGGCCGGCGGGCGCCGAGUCCGCCCGAACCGGCGGCGGAAACACCCGAACGGCCCGCCGGAAAUACCCGAAGGCGGGGGCGGAAAGAGCCGAGCGCCGACGGAAAACAGCUGGGAAAGCCGCGCUCGGCAGCGCUGCCGUGGCGGAGAUGGCCGAGGCGGGCCGGAGAUGGCCGAGUCUGGACGAAGAUGGCCGAGGCGGGGCGGAGCCACCCGAGCCGGGGCGGAGAUGGCCGAGUGGCAACGGAAAUGGCCGAGCGUGAGGGGGCCGGUGAAGCUCCGGCAGGGCCUGGGGCUCGUCCCUCAGGGCCCCUUUGUGCCCACGGGAUGUAGAAACUUGGACUUUGUGCCACAAAACGGGCUCUGGGGGUCUCCGGGUCUGUCGGGAGCCCCCGCGUCCCUCGCGGUGCUGGUCCCAGGGUUCCCUCCUGCCGUCGCUGGUGUGUCCUGAGGCAGCCCGGCCCUGUCCCCGUUCCCACUGGUGGGGCCAGCGCUGCCCAGGUCCUGUUCUGACGGGUCCUGAGGGAGCUUCAGCCACGAUAGCACGGAAUCAUUCAGUUGAAUCAAACAGUGGGAAUUGAAAGCAGCUGUUCCUCAGUGACUGCGCAGGAACGAGCGAGUGGCAGCUGAAGUCAACCACGUCGGAGCAAAACGCCUUCCAUUUCCAGGCAAAGUCAGAGGGAGGGCGUUGGAAAAAGGGACAAAUCAAAGGAAAGUGUUUUCUGCUCCCAGGUGUUGUUGUGCUGCCAUGAAUUAUUCACCGCCUGUGGUGAUGCUCUGAUGGUUGUUUUGCAGGUAGGAAGAGGGAGAGAGUCCCCAGCUUGUAUCACACAGCCCCCACCUGGCUCCUGGAAGAGAGGAACCAUCCAGGGAGCCCAUCCUGGCCGGGCUCCAUCCCAGGCAAGUCACCACCUGCACCCCAGGGACCUCACCCCGUGCCAUGAGGGUGGAGGUGGCACCUGGCCCAGAAAUAUCUGUUAUUUCCCCAUUUUUCUUCUCCCUUGCUGAUUCAUCAAGACUCAAUUUCCAGGAAACCUUCAAAACUAGACUUUUGGAUCUGUCCAUGAUGCAGAAGAAAGAAUGUUUUUGAUGUUUUAUCUGAUGUUUUGGGGUUUUUAAGGGCCUUUUCGGGCUGGGACAGGCAGUGUGUUGAUGAAGGAGAGGUGCCUGCGGGUCUCUCCUGUGACAGGGACAGGACCAAGCAGGUCCCUCUUUGCUCCAUGGUGCUGUUCAGCCUGGACCUGGAGGGAAUGCUCAUGGGGUAGCAAGGGCUACAGGUUUGAAAAAGGACUGAUUUAAGGGCAGAGAGGAGGUGAAGACCCUCCCAAAAACAGGGCGUCUGUUUGAUGCAACAUGCCCCUCAUGCUCUCAUUGCUCCAGGUCUGCAUCAGCAGGAGGUGGCCAGGCCCAUGCCAAGGGUGGGGUGAUGAUCCUCACCCCCGUGUCUGAACUCUUCCCUCACAUUCCCUGCCUCUUCUCCCUCUCCAUGGGAAUAUCCUGUUACCCCUGAGAGCUGCUGGGGUCUCCUCCACCCACCACAUCCACGAGUUGCCCAAAGCCAAAGCAGCCAAACCACGUCAGGGAGGAGGGAAUUCCUUUAAUGAGCCAAACAUCGCAGGGAAAACCUGAAAAGAAUAACUUAAGGUUUCAAACCAAGUUGCAGGUGUCUUAUUUAAUACCAGGCUUAGGCACACACACGGAGACCAAGGAGUGGUGGCUCACGUGGAAACAUCCCAUGGAAAGGACCCGGAUGGAGGAAUCUCGCUCUUCCUGGUGCUCAGAUGGGUUCAAACUUUUCCAAGAGCCUGGGAGACAAGCAGGAAAGGGCUCAAUGCAAUGAGUUUGUGUGAGAGUGCUCCUUCCCAGAUAAACCCAAAAUGUCAACAGCUGUCAUUCCAUACCAUUAAAAAAGAGUUUCAUGUGCAAAUAGUUUGGUGAAGAAUUAAAUCUGGCAGGGUUUGCCACCCAACCAUCUCUGUUGCUGAGCUGAUGAACAGAAACUGGAGAGAAAUGGAUUAAAAAGAAAAUAAAAAGGAUGCUGAACAUUCAAA